rnacentral:rRNA from 1 species
UACAGAGGUCCCAAGCGUUGUUCGGAUUCACUGGGCGUAAAGAGCGUGUAGGCGGUUAGGUAGGUCCGUUGUGAAAACUCGAGGCUCAACCUCGAGACGCCGAUGGAAACCAUCUGACUAGAGUCCGGAAGAGGAGAGUGGAAUUCCUGGUGUAGCGGUGAAAUGCGCAGAUAUCAGGAGGAACACCGGUGGCGAAGGCGGGUCUCUGGGCCGAUACUGACGCUGAGGAGCGAAAGCGUGGGGAGCGAACAGG